rnacentral:rRNA from 1 species
UACGAAGGGUGCGAGCGUUAAUCGGAAUUACUGGGCGUAAAGAGCACGUGGGCGGUUUGAUAAGCGGAAUGUGAAAGCCCCGGGCUUAACCUGGGAACUGCAUUCCGAACUGUCAGGCUAGAGUAUGAUAGAGGUGAGCGGAAUUUCCUGUGUAGCGGUGAAAUGCGUAGAUAUAGGAAGGAACAUCAGUUGCGAAGGCGGCUCACUGGAUCAAUACUGACGCUGAGGUGCGAAAGCGUGGGUAGCGAACAGG